rnacentral:rRNA from 1 species
GCGAGCGUUGUCCGGAUUUAUUGGGCGUAAAGGGCUCGUAGGUGGUUGAUCGCGUCGGAAGUGUAAUCUUGGGGCUUAACCCUGAGCGUGCUUUCGAUACGGGUUGACUUGAGGAAGGUAGGGGAGAAUGGAAUUCCUGGUGGAGCGGUGGAAUGCGCAGAUAUCAGGAGGAACACCAGUGGCGAAGGCGGUUCUCUGGGCCUUUCCUGACGCUGAGGAGCGAAAGCGUGGGGAGCGAACAGGCUUAGAUACCCUGGUAGUCCACGCUGUAAACGGUGGGUACUAGGUGUGGGGUCCAUUCCACGGGUUCCGUGCCGUAGCUAACGCUUUAAGUACCCCGCCUGGGGAGUACGGCCGCAAGGCUAAAACUCAAAGGAAUUGACGGGGCCCCGCACAAGCGGCGGAGCAUGCGGAUUAAUUCGAUGCAACGCGUAGAACCUUACCUGGGUUUGACAUGGAUCGGGAGUGCUCAGAGAUGGGUGUGCCUCUUUUGGGGUCGGUUCACAGGUGGUGCAUGGCUGUCGUCAGCUCGUGUCGUGAGGUGUUGGGUUAAGUCCCGCAACGAGCGCAACCCUUGUUCACUGUUGCCAGCACGUUAUGGUGGGGACUCAGUGGAGACCGCCGGGGUCAACUCGGAGGAAGGUGGGGAUGACGUCAAGUCAUCAUGCCCCUUAUGUCCAGGGCUUCACGCAUGCUACAAUGGCUGGUACAGAGAGUGGCGAGCCUGUGAGGGUGAGCGAAUCUCGGAAAGCCGGUCUCAGUUCGGAUUGGGGUCUGCAACUCGACCUCAUGAAGUCGGAGUCGCUAGUAAUCGCAGAUCAGCAACGCUGCGGUGAAUACGUUCCCGGGGCUUGUACACACCGCCCGUCAAGUCAUGAAAGUUGGUAACACCCGAAGCCGGUGGCCUAACC